rnacentral:sRNA from 1 species
CUGCUCAGCCUCCUUAGUAGUUGGGACUAGAGGUCUUGUGGAUGAGCAGCAGAAAGUUCGGACCAUCAGUGCUUUGGCCAUUGCUGCCUUGGCUGAAGCAGCAACUCCUUAUGGUAUCGAAUCUUUUGAUUCUGUGUUAAA